UUGACCUCAAAUCAGGCGGGACUACCCGCUGAACUUAAGCAUAUCAAUAAGCGGAGGAAAAGAAACUAACAAGGAUUCCCCUAGUAACUGCGAGUGAAGCGGGAUGAGCUCAAAUUUAAAAUCUGGCGUCUUCGGCGUCCGAGUUGUAAUUUAGAGAAGUGUUUUCCGCGCCGGACCGUGUACAAGUCUCCUGGAACGGAGCGUCAUAGAGGGUGAGAAUCCCGUCUUUGACACGGACCCCCGGUGCUCUGUGAUACGCUCUCGAAGAGUCGAGUUGUUUGGGAAUGCAGCUCAAAAUGGGUGGUGAACUCCAUCUAAAGCUAAAUAUUGGCGAGAGACCGAUAGCGAACAAGUACCGUGAGGGAAAGAUGAAAAGCACUUUGGAAAGAGAGUGAAACAGUACGUGAAAUUGUUGAAAGGGAAACGCUUGAAGUCAGUCGCGUCCGCCGGAGCUCAGCCGCAAGGUGUACUCUCUGGUGGACGGGCCAGCAUCACUUUCAAUCAUCGGAAAAGGGCGAGGGGAAUGUGGCACCUCCGGGUGUGUUAUAGCCCUUUGUCGUAUACGGUGACCGGGAGUGAGGACCGCCUUUUGUAGGAUGCUGGCGUAAUGGCUUUAAACGACCCGUCUUGAAACACGGACCAAGGAGUCUAACAUGCCCGCGAGUGUU
rnacentral:rRNA from 1 species